GGGGCUGUAGCUCAGCUGGGAGAGCGAUACGUUCGCAACGUAUAGGUCGUGGGUUCGAAUCCCAUCAGCUCCAC
rnacentral:tRNA from 2 species